rnacentral:lncRNA from 1 species
AUGAAGUCCUGGCCCAAGACUGGCAAUGGAGAAUACCUGGAAGGGGAGGACUGUGUAGUGGAACAUCUUCUCAACUGGUCCAUGGCCAAAAGUGUCUUUCAAGUCCAAGGUGAAAAUCUGAAAAUGAUUGACCAUUUGUCAGACGAUGCUAAAGAGCGGAUGGUUGUGGCAUGCUCUGCGUUCAGUUCUGUCUCAGAUAAAGUCAUCAACGGCAACAUCCAGAUGAAGACUCUCAGCAAAGUCCUCUCAAGGAGAACAACAUUCAUUGAGCUUUUGAAGAUAGAUGGCCUGUGUGAAGAUGGUCGUUGUAAGGACGACACCACUAUGAACAGAUUACUGAGAUUUAGAGAAGAAGAAAUGGAGAAUGUGAACAGUUACAAGAAGAUGGUUGAGGGCCUAGUUAUAAUUUGUCUCCAACUCCAGGAGCAUCUGAAAGGUGAGUUAAAUUGUAUUUGAUAAGGGUAUACAUUAAAGCUUAUGUUAUUGGUACUGUUUAUCAAAUAUUUGUUAAUGUAUGACUGCAUGAUGUAACAGUCUUGGUCCUGGUUCUCAUUGAUGUCAUAUUAAUUCACAGUCGAUGUGAAAGAGCUGGAGCUCAAAA